CUCGAAGCUGCUUAAAUGACACUCACUACCUGUUAGAAUGCAUAAGGGCGCUGUUGUCACAGAGACUCUGCCUCUGUUCAGUGACAGCUGGCAGACCCAUCCAACUGGCUCACAUGUAGACUGGCUCCAGCCUGACCAUGGCAACCAAAAGGAAUGACAAAGUCGCUGCUGUUCGCUUGGCCCUUACUGCAGGAGACCAAGAGAGGGGCAAUUCUGACACUCCUCACCUCCAACCUACCUUUCUGGUACCAAGUGAAAACGGGCAGCCUGGAAGUUCCAUUCCUGGCUCUGUGUGCAGUGGCUGAUCACACUCAGAACUCAAAAUCCAAAUGUCUGCAUCUGAAGCCCUGCCUGAGGCCCACCAAGCCUGUGACUUUCAGAAAGUUCCCUGAUCUCUCUGAGGCUCUGUAAAAUGGAGGGUAAUGAUCCUUGCCUACCCUAAAAGACCACUGCAGGAAACAAAAAAAAAUAAUGUUUUUAUAAACAGGGAAGAGCUGCAGGAA
rnacentral:lncRNA from 10 species